UACGAAGGGUGCAAGCGUUACUCGGAAUUACUGGGCGUAAAGCGUGCGUAGGUGGUGCGUUAAGUCUGUCGUGAAAGCCCCGGGCUCAACCUGGGAAUGGCGAUGGAUACUGGCGCGCUAGAGUGCGGUAGAGGAGAGUGGAAUUCCCGGUGUAGCGGUGAAAUGCGUAGAGAUCGGGAGGAACAUCAGUUGCGAAGGCGGCUCUCUGGACCAGCACUGACACUGAGGCACGAAAGCGUGGGGAGCAAACAGG
rnacentral:rRNA from 1 species